CAGCAGCCGCGGUAAUACCGGCAGCCCGAGUGAUAGCCAAUUUUAUUGGGCCUAAAGCGUCCGUAGCUCGCCGAACAGGUCCGUCGGGAAAUCCACCCGUCUUAACGAGGUGGGGCUGUCCGCGCGGUAAACCAUGUCGCGCUUUGGGAGCCUGACAGACCAAAGGGGUACGUCCGGGGUAGGAGUGAAAUCCCGUAAUCCUGGACGGACCACCGGUUGCGAAAGCGCCUUUGGAGAACGGACCCGACAGUGAGGGACGAAAGCUAGGGUCUCGAACCGGAUUACAUACCCGGGUAGUCCUAGCCGUAAACGAUGCUCGCUAGGUGUGACGCAGGCUACGAGCCUGCGUUGCGCCGUAAGGAAGCCGAGAAGCCAGCCGCCUGGGAAGUACGUCCGCAAGGAUGAAACUUAAAGGAAUUGGCGGGGGAGCACUACAACCGGAGGAGCCUGCGGUUUAAUUGGACUCAACGCCGGACAUCUCACCGGCACCGACAACGUGCAGUGACGGACAGUUUGAUGAGCUUACCUGACCCGUUGAGAGGAGGUGCAUGGCCGCCGUCCGCUCCUACCGUGAGGCGUCCUGUUAAGUCCGGCAACGAGCGAGACCCGUGUCCCUAAUUGCCAGCCACGCCGAGAGGCGGCUGGGUACAUUAAGGAGACUGCCGCUGCUAAAGCGUACGAAUGAACGGGCAACGGUAGGUCAGCAUGCCCCGAAUGUGCCGGGCUACACGCGGGCUACAAUGUCCGGUACAGAGUGACGCUACCCCGAGAGGCGACUCUAAUCUCCUAACCCUGAUCAUAUUUCCGACUGCUGAUUGAAAC
rnacentral:rRNA from 1 species